rnacentral:tRNA from 1 species
GGCUGGGGCUCAGUGACAGAGCCCUUGCCUUGUAUGUGUGAGGUCCUGGGUUCGAUUCUCAGCACCA